rnacentral:rRNA from 1 species
AGAGAGAGACAUGCGCGCAUAUCAAUAAGGGAGGAAAAGAAACUAACAAGGAUUCCCCUAGUAACGGCGAGUGAAGCGGGAAGAGCUCAAAUUUGAAAUCUUAAAGGGUUUCCCUUUACGAAUUGUAGUUUAAAGAAGUGUUUUCUGUUGAGGUUUUGGUAAAAGUUCUUUGGAAUAGGACAUCAUAGAGGGUGAGAAUCCCGUAUUUGACCUUUACUUUCAACUUUGUGAUACACUUUCAAAGAGUCGGAUUGUUUGGGAAUGCAGUCCAAAAUGGGUGGUAAAUUUCAUCUAAAGCUAAAUAUUGGCGAGAGACCGAUAGCGAACAAGUACCGUGAGGGAAAGAUGAAAAGAACUUUGAAAAGGAGAGUUAAACAGUACGUGAAAUUGUCAAAAGGGAAGCGUUUGACACCAGUGUUGUUUUUCUGAAAAUCAAUUAAAGAACUGUUUUAUGCUAAGCUGUUUAGACUUUAUCAGCUAAUCUGUUUAGUUUUGAGCUUUUCUUUAAUGCACUUUUCAGUUAACAAGUCAACAUCAAUUUCUUUCGCUGUAAAAAUGCUUGAGGAAGGUGGCUUGAGAUUCGUCUUAAGUGUUUAUAGCCUCUUGCCUAUGCAGUCGGAGAGAUUGAGGUCUGCAGCGUAGAUCCUUCGGGGCUAAAUGCAUUUGUGCUAAGUUAUAGCAUUUUAUAGACAACUUGUUGACUAUGAUUUGUCUUGUAGCUUACUCGCUUAUGUUAUUUUACCUACGCUUAGGAUGUUGACGCAUGAGAUAUACGC